UAAUUGUAGAUCAAAUUCUAGAUUACUCUAGAAGCUCUCUAGACUUCUCUUGAAUGAUAUAGAUUAUUUUAGAUGAUCAAUGUGCAUUAAUUUUCAACACUCCUCCUUAAUGCACAUUGAUGAUACUCCCAACAAUCUCGUAGUAAUUCUAGUCAUGAUCUUGAAAGUGUCUUGACGAAGGUGUACAUGCUCUUGCCUUCUUUUUCCAUUGCUUUCCUUUGUUGCUUUUUUUCAUUGCAACUUCACAACUUUUACGUUGUUGAUGAUAUGAACUUGCUUCUUCAUUGGCUUGAUGUGGUGGAGUCUUCGGCUGCUUUCUUUUGAGGACAAUAUCUUUCUUCUUAAUUUCUCCUUUCAUGGCCAUAUGUUGCCAUUGGAUGGGAAAACUUUUAUUUUUCAUUCUAUUUUGAAGAUUAACCUUCUUUUCUUAUCAAAUAUUGUGCAGAAGUCCCCAUGAAAUAAUAGAACAUAUCCAUUUUCAAUCAUUUGUCCAACACUUGGGAGAUUAUGCUCCAAACUAUGGAAACUAAUAGAACAUUAAUAUAUUUAGUUCCUAAGUUAGUCAGGAUGGAAAUCAUAUAUUUUUCUUUUGUUUCUACCAUUUCUCCAUUUCCCAAUUUCACUUGAGACUUUUGUGAAGUAUCUUUUUUUUUUUUUUGAGAGGAAUAAAUAUCUAUAGAUAUAAUCAUGACUACACUGAGUCAUUGCUAGGAUAGUACAUACACCAAAGCAAAAGCUCCUGAAGCAUAACCUUACUUUGCUAUUCAGCUGAACUAGAAGCAGAUCCCUAUCUAAUAACAUCCAUUCUUCCAAUACAUGCUCAUUUAUUUAACUCCUAACUAUAAUGAAAAAAGCUAACUGGGUAAGACCCUAGACAACUAUCUGAAGAAUCACCAAGCUUUCGCGUAAGAACGCAAUUGUUGUAUGAUUGCUUACCAAUUCCUCCAAAUAGCCUCCCACGACGUCUAGGAUCAGACUUGUCAACCUGAACAUGCUAAAUUUUACCUUUACCCUUCUCUAUAGAAGGAUUAGCAGUGGUGGUUGGUGUCAAAUCAGAGUACUUAGCCUCCUUCUUCUUUGUCUUAUUUCGGUUACCCCGCGGCCUUCCUAGAGUCUUCUUCUUGCCCAAUACACAUAGGUCUUUCAGAAGCCCCUCAAGGGACCAAGUUAAUCCCAGGUUCUCCUCUUCGAGCCUUGCAGGGGCUAGCGAAAGUGCAUGACGCCUGCGCUUGGGCUGCGACUCUUCCUCCUCCUCUCUAGCUCGGCACGUCCCAGUAAUUCAGGUUACCCCUAUUGUCUCCUGGGUUGCCGUAGCCGUUGUCGACGUACCACUUUUUGUUUUUCUCUUCAAUCGCUGAGUGACAUAUAUAGAAGAUCUGCUCAUCUUGCUCAUUUUCUUCUGAAAAGUCCGCUGGGUGA